UCCCGAUUUUCUCGCUCUCUCUAGAGGAGUGGUCCAACUGCGGCGGCGACGGUGAGGUGCGCACACACAAGAAGACACGGCGGCGCGAGGCACGCCGGACAUGGCGACGCGGUAGCUUCGCUCGCCGGAGCAGCGUGCACAAGGACUUGGUCCGGCGCGCUCCUCCGUCGAGCGUAGCUCCGGAGACGCGACCACGUAGCCGAGGCGUUUACGGGCAUUUCGCCGGCGGCUGCCGGCGCACGCUUUGACGGCGACGGCGAGGAACAAGGCACGAAGUCCAGCAGCGGUUGCAUCUUCUUUCCGCGCCGUAACGAGAGACAGCGGCGUUCCGGCCAUGGCGUACACGCACGGCGGUGGCCGUGGCCGUGCGGACCCUAAGGCCGGCAUGCUCAUAAACGCACAGCGGAGCCCAUGAUCUCAAGUGGCGAGGAUGAGCAGCACCAGUGGCGCCAAGGUGAUGUAGUCGUGGAGAGGCAGCAGCUCACCCAGGAGCUUCGCGGUGGCAGC
rnacentral:rRNA from 1 species